rnacentral:rRNA from 1 species
AAUCAACGCUGGCGGCGUGCCUCAGACAUGCAAGUCGAACGAUUAAAGCUCUCUUCGGAGAGUGCAUAGAGUGGCGCACGGGUGAGUAACACGUAAGUAAUCUACCCUCGAGUGGGGAAUAACAACCGGAAACGGUUGCUAAUACCGCAUAAUGCAGCGGCACCGCAAGGUGACAGUUGUUAAAGAUUUAUCGCUUGAGGAGGAGCUUGCGGCAGAUUAGCAGUUGGUAAGGUAAUGGCUUACCAAGGCUACGAUCUGUAACCGGUCUAAGAGGACGGUCGGUCACACUGACACUGAAUAACGGGUCAGACUCCUACGGGGAGGCAGCAGUCGGGUAAUUUUGGGCAAUGGGCGAAAAGCCUGACCCAGCAACGCCGCGUGAAGGAUGAAGUA